UACGGGGGGGGUAAGCGUUGUUCGGAAUUACUGGGCGUAAAGGGCUCGUAGGCGGCCAACUAAGUCAGACGUGAAAUCCCUCAGCUUAACUGGGGAACUGCGUCUGAUACUGGAUGGCUUGGAUUCGGGAGAGGAAUGCGGAAUUCCAGGUGUAGCGGUGAAAUGCGUAGAUAUCUGGAGGAACACCGGUGGCGAAGGCGGCAUUCUGGACCGAUAUUGACGCUGGGGAGCGAAAGCGUGGGGAGCGAACAGG
rnacentral:rRNA from 1 species